AUUCAUUGCAGCCUGGCUGCACGGCCGCUGCAGUGACGCGCCCACCCGGCCCUGUGCUGCGCCUGCCAGCCAGGGGUCCGCAGUCACCGCUCCGCGUCUCUGCCAGGACCAUGGCGCGGCUGGUGACGCGUAGCCGCCCGGGGUUCCUGGCUCGCCUCACCCGUGGCAUCUGGUGCCUCCUCUGUGUCGCAGGACAGGUAUGCGGAGACCAAAGCCAAGGGGCUGUUUUCCUGAGGGAAUUCACACUGAUUCGAAGAGAGAGCCUUCAUGAAGAUUUCCUGUCUGACUUCUUGAAUAGUCACAAAACCGAAGACCCGUUUCAUUUUGCCUUCUAUCCUGGGAAUCCCACCUAUGUUGCUGGAAUUUUAAAACAUGAGGUUUAAACAUACACCAAAAGUAUAUAAAAUAUGCAACAAAGUCACUUAUACAUUCAGUAGAGUCACAUGUGAGGGAACAAAAGAACAAAAUAACAUCACUGCCUUAAGAAAAAUUUGGAGCAGGAUAGCAAGAGCUGGCACACCUCUUGUUGACAUUGUCCCACAAUCAUGUACACAGUGUCUUUAAUUGACUGUGGCAUAUUUAUUAAGAGCCUAGGCAUCCUUCACACCCUUUACCAUCAACCCUAGGCAGCAGCCUUGAGGAGGGCUUGGGUGUCAGGGGCAUUACUCUAUAAGGGCAUUUAGAAACUCUUCAGUGUUCGACUGUCUGCCUUGACCCUUGUACUCUCUCUGUGGCAAAUGGAGACAGAAGCUGGGCAGGUAACCCCACCCUCCCACGCUUAGCAAAUGGAAGAGCAUAGUGUCUUCAAUUGGUGCACUGUGACUGAUGAGUCUGAGUUGGUGGGAGGGGAAAGAGGAUGAAUAGAUGAAAAACAUAACGAAAUACUGCAUUUAGAGGACUUAAGACCAACUGGUAAUGUGUGAUCAACAUGGCCACACGAGAUAUUGAGUUCAAUGCUGCCCCACUACCAGGUCCCUAUAAAGAAGAGGUUUGUGGUGUGUGGGGCUUCUUCUGUAUUUAUGAUUUAUUUAAUUUUCAGGACCCACCUGUUCAUCUGUUUUUCCUAUUUUAGCCCAUGGUGGUGGUACUUGAUUUGCCAAGCCCUGAAUGGACCAGACACAUCUCAGUGCUCCUGACAGAGUCUGUCAUUCAGCACUCAGAAAUGUGACAGUACAAAUGACCCCCAUUCUUAGUUGUAGAAACUAAGGCUUGGGAAUGAUAAAUAUCUUACCUAGGUCACAAAGUUAGCAGCCACACAGCCCAGUUUCCCAAGACAAUUAGUGGCUGUAUGACGCUUGGGUGGGAAUGAUAAUGGACUGGAGUGAAUGGGAGAUCAGGCUCUCAAGCAAAUCAUGCCUUUUUCCCUCCAACUAAUUGGAGACAGGCGUUAAGAGGAAGGAAUUAGUUCCACUCAGCAGUAGUCUGACUGAACUGUGUAUUGCUUCCAACAGAGGUGGUUGUGGGGUGGCACAAGGAACAUUGUCUGGUGGAGAUCACUACAAAAAUGAUCUUAAAGUGGCUGAGAAGAGCCACACUGAAAAUUAUUUGAUAUGACUUUAUUAAUUCUUAAGACUUCUUCAUGAGUGUUUGGUGAAGCCCAUCAUUGCAAUUCAUGAACCAGCAAACUUGCCAUCACGUCUGUUUCUGUAAUAAGGCGUAUGGUUUCUACACAAGAUUCUUCUCAGGAGAACUGGCAAGUAAGUAAAA
ensembl:processed_transcript